rnacentral:lncRNA from 1 species
AUCACCGGUUGACAGCAACAUUGCACCACCGCACCGCGACUCUCAAGGUGCGUUGUUCUUAUGACUGCCGUGUACACCGAAAUUACUACUAUUAUCGUAAAUUCAUGUAUGGAGUAACUUUUUUUGUUGCUAUUUUGAAAGUCCUGAUUGCAAUUUGAACAUUUGAUCUCUAUAAUUAAACCUAUUACACAUUGAUCAUUAUCAUGAGAAUCAGACUUUGAAAUAAUUACUCUACAGUAUUUCAUUUAUCGUAUAUAUACACAAAAUUAAAGUGCAAAAAAACAAGUAAUCAAUCAUAGAUUGUUACAUUACAAACUCCACGAACAUAUGAGGAAGAAUCAAUGAAAAUUUGGACAUGAAUUAGGGAUCUGUUGGAUUAUUAAACCCUAGGGACGACCUAGUUUUAGGGUGUUCAUAAAGCUAAUUGUCACAAAUUCACCAUUGAGCAGAUUCCCUAAGGUCUCAGGCUUCACCCUAAAUCCAGAAAUGUUCACAUGUACGUUUAACUAUAAGCUCUUUCUAGUGUAGAAAAUCUAUCACCUGCAAAAGGAUAGAGUGUUAAUAAUGGUAUCACUAACCACCAUCUAGCCUUCCAUGUUGUUGAACUACCCUAGAAGUAUUAGUCUUUUUAAUGGUAUCAGCUGGUUUUUCAUUCGCUGCUUCAAUCUGUUCCAAUUUUUCAAGAACUUCCUUCAUUGAUGGCCUAACUUUGGGCUCUGUUUGGAUGCAUUUGAGAGCAAGUUGAGCUAGUUGUGAUGCUAAGUUGGGUGGAUACUUACCUUCCAACCUUGCAUCCAUGUUGCUUCUCAAUUUCCCUCUGUUUAAUAGGUUUGAUUUGAGCCAAUCACAUAAGGAAUUUGUCUGACGAAGGCGUGUUAUAUCGUUUAUUGACUUACCCGUUAGUAUCUCCAACAAAACAAUCCCAAAUCCAUAUACAUCACUUUUCACAUACAAAUGACCUAUUUGAUUGAUGUGGGACGAUUAAUUUACUGUCUCACAACAUUUUCAAAACAUGUUUAAGAAGAGGGAAUUUGCGGUUUACCUGUGCGAAUGUACUCUGGAGCAGCAUAGCCGCAUGUUCCCACUACCUGUGUUGAUACAUGAGUGUGAUCAUCAGAAGGAACAGAUCUGGCCAAGCCAAAGUCUGAUAACUUGGAUGUGUAUGCCUAUUACAAAACAAAAGAUUAGAUAUAUUUUCUUCCAUUACCAUGAAUUCUUCAAUAGCAUGCAUCUUAAAUAUAGAAAUGACUUCUGUCUUCUUUUAUUUCUCAAUAUAUGAGGAAAAUGUGCUCAUGGGGUACUCAAUACCCAAAAGAUGAAAUGAAACUUACCUUGUCAAGUAGUAUAUUUGAGGGCUUAAAAUCUCUGUAUAUAAUUUUCUUCUCUAAGGAGUGCAGGAAAUUUAGUCCCCUAGCUGCUCCUAUCAUCACUUUCAACCUUCUGUCCCAUGAAAGUGGCCGAACAUUUGAACCUCCUGCAGGCAUAAAAUAACAACAGGAAAGUACAGACACAAAGAAAGAGAGAAAAAUGGUAGUUUUGUGGAUGUCAUAGUAAAGUAUUCACUAUUCAACAAUGUUAUCAGCACUUACUUCCAAACAGGUGGUUAUCCAAGCUGCCACGGUGCAUAAAUUCAUACACCAAAAAUAGCUCGCCAUCCUCACGCCCAAAUCCCAACAGCUUUACAAGGUUGGGGUGAGAAAGCCUUCCUAAGAAAUUCACCUCUGACUGUACCCAAAAGAAGAAGAAACAUCAAUAUAAAUAGAAGCCAUCACAUGCCAACAAAAAAUGUGAAUGUGAUGAUCUUCUAAUUUUGAAAGUUUUACUCAUGCUGUAGUUAUGCCCAUACCUGCCAUUCUGCAACUCCUUGCCUGCUUUCAGAAUUCAAUUUCUUGAUGGCAAUAGUCAAACCCUCACCUCUUUUUGAUCCCGAACUCUUCUUAAUCAAACCCUUGAAUACUCUACCGAACCCACCCUCUCCUAACACACUGUCAAGACGGAAAUUUUUAGUGGCUUCCUUCAGUUCUGCCAAAGUAAAAACUUUCAAGUUUGCCGCAUCCAAGAUCUGCCCAUAAGGGAACUCCUCAUCAUCUCUUACUCGAGAGGCCUGACUAUUCUCAGAGCCCCAAAAGGAUGUACUUGUAUUAUUGCCUGUUGAGUGAUUAUUACUACUACUAAAUAGUCUGCUAUUUCUUCCAGAGUUGCUGCUACGCCCAAGAGAUGUGGAAUUGCCAUUCUGUAUCAAUCUCAAGUUGCUGAGACCAGCAGAUAACCGAAUACUUCUCCCUAGGACAUUGCAACAGCAAGAGAAACACAGUUUGUCAUGUGUUAGAAGAGCGAAUUUGGUUCUCAAGAAAAUAGAUAAAUAAAUGCACACAAGAACAGACCAUCGAAUAACUGACUACUCCCUGGGACAUUGCAACAGCAAGAGAAACACAGUUUUGCGACUUUUAAAUUUUUUUAUUUUUCAAAAUUUUAAGAGUAAAAAAAUUAAAAAUUAAAAUAAUUUAUUUAUUUAAAAAAAAAAAUUAUCCCUAUUUAUUUUAAAAAUAAAUGUAAAUUUCACGUGACCAUAAUUUUUUUCAUCAUCAUUUACACAUCACCAAAUUGAGAAGAGGAUCAAAUGUAAACAAAAAAAUACAGGGAUCUAAUUUUGUCUACAUUUCCAUCAACAGAUUGGUUGUUGCAGUUUUUUUACUAUGCAAUUAGUACGGUUACAACACGAUACAAUGUUAAAAUACUACAGUCAAAUUACAAGUUUACCGCUGCGAGGAACUUCGCCUUCCACAUCCCCAACCUUCCUAGUCGAAACCUAACAUAUGAAUGGGUCAAAUCUAAAGGUGAGACACUCUUGCUUCACUACACCCGAGCAUCUGAAUGCUUAUAGUGAAUGUGAGUCAUACUCAAAAUUACACAAUAAAUUAUGUUAAGAGGUUGAAGUGCCAAACAUGUUCAGGA